CAGCAGGGCGAGGAGGGGACUGUCCCCUCUGCUCCACUCUCGUGACACCUCACCUGCAGCACUGUCACCAGCACCGAGGGCUCAGCACAGGAGAGAUGUGGGCCUGAUGGAACAGCUCCAGAGGAGGCCAAGAAGAUCUCUAGGAUGACACACUGAACAGGAGUGGUGGAGCAGCUCUGACAAGAGAGACUCCAAGUCACAGAACAAGACACCCUUCAGAGGUUGCAUCAUCAUCAUUGUGAACGUACUGGCAUAUUGGGAGAGACUGUGGAAGUCAUGAAAGUAAAAUCUUCAUCAGAUCAUGAGAGGAUGAAAAGUUAAACUCCUUUUAGGCAGAACGUGAUCCUUGGUGGCUGUCAGAGCUCUGCCUACAACUUGUGCUUCAAACCUUCAUUGA